rnacentral:rRNA from 1 species
UAAUACGGGGGGAGCAAGCGUUGUUCGGAUUUACUGGGCGUAAAGGGCGCGUAGGCGGCCACCGCAAGUCAGUUGUGAAAUCUCUGGGCUUAACCCAGAAAGGUCAACUGAUACUGCGGGGCUAGAGUGCAGAAGGGGCAACUGGAAUUCUCGGUGUAGCGGUGAAAUGCGUAGAUAUCGAGAGGAACACCUGCGGCGAAGGCGGGUUGCUGGGCUGACACUGACGCUGAAGCGCGAAAGCUAGGGGAGCGAACGGGAUUAGAUACCCCGGUAGUCCUAGCCUUAAACGAUGAAUGCUUGGUGUCUGGGGUUUUAUAGUCCCCGGGUGCCGUCGCUAACGCUUUAAGCAUUCCGCCUGGGGAGUACGGUCGCAAGACU